CGAAUGCUGACAUAAGUAACGAUAAAGCGGGUGAAAAGCCCGCUCGCCGGAAGACCAAGGGUUCCUGUCCAACGUUAAUCGGGGCAGGGUGAGUCGACCCCUAAGGCGAGGCCGAAAGGCGUAGUCGAUGGGAAACAGGUUAAUAUUCCUGUACUUGGUGUUACUGCGAAGGGGGGACGGAGAAGGCUAUGUUGGCCGGGCGACGGUUGUCCCGGUUUAAGCGUGUAGGCUGGUUUUCCAGGCAAAUCCGGAAAAUCAAGGCUGAGGCGUGAUGACGAGGCACUACGGUGCUGAAGCAACAAAUGCCCUGCUUCCAGGAAAAGCCUCUAAGCAUCAGGUAACAUCAAAUCGUACCCCAAACCGACACAGGUGGUCAGGUAGAGAAUACCAAGGCGCUUGAGAGAACUCGGGUGAAGGAACUAGGCAAAAUGGUGCCGUAACUUCGGGAGAAGGCACGCUGAUAUGUAGGUGAAGUCCCUCGCGGAUGGAGCUGAAAUCAGUCGAAGAUACCAGCUGGCUGCAACUGUUUAUUAAAAACACAGCACUGUGCAAACACGAAAGUGGACGUAUACGGUGUGACGCCUGCCCGGUGCCGGAAGGUUAAUUGAUGGGGUCAGCGCAAGCGAAGCUCUUGAUCGAAGCCCCGGUAAACGGCGGCCGUAACUAUAACGGUCCUAAGGUAGCGAAAUUCCUUGUCGGGUAAGUUCCGACCUGCACGAAUGGCGUAAUGAUGGCCAGGCUGUCUCCACCCGAGACUCAGUGAAAUUGAACUCGCUGUGAAGAUGCAGUGUACCCGCGGCAAGACGGAAAGACCCCGUGAACCUUUACUAUAGCUUGACACUGAACAUUGAGCCUUGAUGUGUAGGAUAGGUGGGAGGCUUUGAAGUGUGGACGCCAGUCUGCAUGGAGCCGACCUUGAAAUACCACCCUUUAAUGUUUGAUGUUCUAACGUGGACCCGUGAUCCGGGUUGCGGACAGUGUCUGGUGGGUAGUUUGACUGGGGCGGUCUCCUCCUAAAGAGUAACGGAGGAGCACGAAGGUUGGCUAAUCCUGGUCGGACAUCAGGAGGUUAGUGCAAUGGCAUAAGCCAGCUUGACUGCGAGCGUGACGGCGCGAGCAGGUGCGAAAGCAGGUCAUAGUGAUCCGGUGGUUCUGAAUGGAAGGGCCAUCGCUCAACGGAUAAAAGGUACUCCGGGGAUAACAGGCUGAUACCGCCCAAGAGUUCAUAUCGACGGCGGUGUUUGGCACCUCGAUGUCGGCUCAUCACAUCCUGGGGCUGAAGUAGGUCCCAAGGGUAUGGCUGUUCGCCAUUUAAAGUGGUACGCGAGCUGGGUUUAGAACGUCGUGAGACAGUUCGGUCCCUAUCUGCCGUGGGCGCUGGAGAACUGAGGGGGGCUGCUCCUAGUACGAGAGGACCGGAGUGGACGCAUCACUGGUGUUCGGGUUGUCAUGCCAAUGGCACUGCCCGGUAGCUAAAUGCGGAAGAGAUAAGUGCUGAAAGCAUCUAAGCACGAAACUUGCCCCGAGAUGAGUUCUCCCUGACCCUUUAAGGGUCCUGAAGGAACGUUGAAGACGACGACGUUGAUAGGCCGGGUGUGUAAGCGCAGCGAUGCGUUGAGCUAACCGGUA
rnacentral:rRNA from 1 species